GCUGAAACUCGCCUCUUUGAAGUCGGAAUCGCUAGUAAUCGCAGAUCAGCAUGUUGCGGUGAAUACGUUUCCUGGUCUUGUACACACCGCCCGUCAAACCAUGAGAGUCGCCAACACCCGAAGUCCGCUUUGCGGCCUAAGGUGGGGGAGAUGAUUGGGGUUAAGUCGUAACAAGGUAUC
rnacentral:rRNA from 1 species